rnacentral:tRNA from 1 species
GCCGAGAUAGCUCAGUUGGCAGAGCAACGCACUCGUAACGCGUAGGUCCGGGGUUCGACCCCCCGUCUCGGCU